rnacentral:misc_RNA from 1 species
AUGGAGUAUCGAGCAGCUUCGCCUCCACAAAUUUACCACCACAAAGACAGGGUGAGUCGUCUCAGUAGUCGUGGGGUCACAAAAUAAAUUAUGUCAAACAGAUCACGGCGGCCCAGAGCCGAAUGCGGACCCGUUUCUCUCGAGGGUUCCCAGAGUUGCACCGUUGCACGCGGAUUGUCGGAUGUUCGGUGAUCUGUUGUAAAAAAUAUAAUCGCAAGUGUCGUGUUCGUGGAUGCGGUAAAGCUGUACACACCUGUCCAUGCCUUUCAUUAGAGUAAUGCUGACGCCACAACAUCAGUUAUUCCACUCAAUUGACCUUUUUCUUCGCAUCCGUUGCACGGAGCUACCCGAAGUUAUUUCACGUAAGCGAGAUCUUUUUGAACGGGUAUCUCGAAAAGAGGAAAGCGUACACGUAAGUCGAGACCCGUGUUUCUACGCCCUCUGAAUUAUUAAUUGCAAAUAUGAAUACCGCAGAUGUUGUAAAUCCUCGAGGAUCAAAAGCGUUCGAUUUUUUACCCUCUAAGGCUACUGCUGCUCUUUCGACCCGCUGGUUCACGAUGUAUCUAUGUACAGGUAUUAUAGGUAUA